rnacentral:tRNA from 1 species
GCAGGGCUAGUUUAUGAAAAAUGUUGGCCUGUGGAGCCAAAGAAAGUGAUUUAUCACUGCCUUGCU